rnacentral:rRNA from 1 species
AACGAACGCUGGCGGCAGGCCUAACACAUGCAAGUCGAGCGCGCCCUUCGGGGUGAGCGGCGGACGGGUGAGUAACGCGUGGGAACGUGCCCUUUUCUACGGAAUAGCCUCGGGAAACUGAGAGUAAUACCGUAUACGCCCUUUGGGGGAAAGAUUUAUCGGAAAAGGAUCGGCCCGCGUUGGAUUAGGUAGUUGGUGGGGUAAUGGCCUACCAAGCCGACGAUCCAUAGCUGGUUUGUGAGGAUGAUCAGCCACACUGGGACUGAGACACGGCCCAGACUCCUACGGGAGGCAGCAGUGGGGAAUCUUAGACAAUGGGGGCAACCCUGAUCUAGCCAUGCCGCGUGAGUGAUGAAGGCCUUAGGGUUGUAAAGCUCUUUCAGCUGGGAAGAUAAUGACGGUACCAGCAGAAGAAGCCCCGGCUAACUCCGUG